ACCACCCCUUCCUGCGCCGCGCCGGCCCGCCCGCGCUGCUCGUGCCGCUCAUGCCGCGCCAGGACGCGCACUGAGCACUCUGGAAAUGGGCGUAUUCGUCAAUUUGGGUCAAUGCCGAAACUGACAAGCAUGUAUUUCGAAAUUGAUAUAAAUAAUGGACUUUCUUAUAAAAUUAUUUAUAGUUUGCGAAAUUUUACACAUGAUACAACAAAUUAAAAAUAUCAUCUUAUUAACUUUA